rnacentral:piRNA from 1 species
UAGGAUUCAGAUUGGACAGAGAGCCUUCUGU